CCGCAAGGAGACAGGAGACAGGGCUCAAUUCUGUCUCCUAAUCCAGGCUUUGGGGUGAAACCUAAGGCUUUAGAGGAAUUUCAAACUUGGAAGUGAAACCCGUGGGUUAAAUCCAUUUCACCUGCUGCCACUAACCAGGGUGGUUUAAAAGACUUGUGUCUUACAAGGGUCUUAACACCAAGAUGCCGCCCCGAUGGUUUCCUAGGAACUUGAAAGCAGCUGAGUCGAGUCCAAGCUGAGCUGGUUCAGACCAGAUGGGACCUCCGACUCUGCAACUGGGCAUGCGCGGGCGUCCAGGCUCCUCCCCCCCACCCCGGGGGCUUAUAACGCUUGCGCGGGUCGGGCUUAUCGCGCCUUUUGCGCAUCAUGCUUGCAACUCUGAAUGCUGCCCAACCCUUGCUGGUGUCUGAGAGCUGAAGUUGCGGUCUGGUCUCGCUUCUCCUUUUCUGGCUGUUUUAUGGCUAAGUUCUGUCUUUGCUGCACGUCGGGGUGUCCCAGCAUUUGGGCUUGUUGCGCAUCAGCCCAGCGAACUUAGUCCGGGAGCUGGUGGGCCGAGUCUGCGAAUCCGUCCAGCUCCUGCAUCGGUGUGCAACGCAAUGUUGGCGAGAGUUGCUUCCACCUCACCGUCGCUGGAAGCUGCCUUGCAGAGCGGAUGCUGCGAGAGGAGCAAAGGAAAGUCUCCCCUGAAUUGGCCUCGAAGCGCAGGGAGACUAGAAAGUGGGAGAGACCGCAGUUAAAAAAGUGCCACAUGCAAGGAGACGCCCCGGGAGGAGACGUGCGGUGUCAGCACAUCCCGGUAGGGGUGCGGGGGUCUCCUUCAGCCACGCGUCGACCGAGUAACUGAGGUUCACGGUGGAUGGCACGUCCCGGAUGUGUGUGCUGAUAACUCUGGCAACCCUACAGAAGAGAGGCAUGUUGAAAAUACUUAGCAAACGGAGUUACAGCUGCGUGGACUGGUCCCGGGUCUCCCCUCAGAGGCAGAGGCUGUGUACUUUCUGGGAGUUCUUGGGACCGCAGCUCCAGUUGGGGCAGUGCCACAUCUCGAUAGGAGACCAGAACGAUUCAAUCACUUAUUCACAGUCUAGAUGUUUGUGGCGGGUAGACAAAAUAUUAAGAUGUUUGGCAGGAUCGCUCUGCUGCCCUUUGCAAGUCUGGCAUCUGACCUGCGUAGCUGUCCAGCUCGCCCCGGGCUGGGACCGUAUCUGUGGGGACCCCGUGCCCCCACUCCCCUCCUUUUCAAGUGGGCCUGGGACGUUGCUACCAGGAUUUUCAAGGAUUGAGCUGAAGUCUGGACGUGCUUUUGCAUUUUGUUCAUUUUUUGGCCCAAGGCUCCCGUGUAUGUACAGUUGUCUUACUGAAGUCUGCUGAUAAAGUUCAGACGCCUUAGUUUCUGUUACGGAGGAAACUCAGCAAGAAAAUCAGAUUUUUUUUUUUCUUCUCCCUCAGAGCACAAUGAACUGACAUAAAUCCUGUCCAUGUGAUACUGCUCCGACCCCCUCCCCCCACCAGGCCAGGGGGGAUGGGAACGGUGACGUCACCCAGCACAGGAAGCCCCUGGCAGGUUAGGGCUGUUUCUGGGCAAGGGCACUCAUUGAUCCAAUUAGUUAUUCAUUCAACCAACUCCCCACCCCACCCCCACACAGCCGUGGUCCUGACCUCUCUGGUUGGUCUGCCUGGAUCCUCUUCUUGGUGCUGUUGCGCCUUCGUUGUGUAGCCAUGGAACACUGCUUGGUUUUUUCUCUGCACUUGGAUUUCUUCUGUAAAACAGGAUUAAUAACAGGGUUGUUGGAAGGAUUAAAUGAGAAUUCAUGUAACCGCCGGAGAACAGUGCCUGACAUUUAGUAAGUACUUAAUAAAUGUUAGCUGUUACAGUGGAUGCGUAGCCGUGGAGAAGCUUUGAUCCCAGAAAGGGCAGGCUUUCGUCCUUAGAGGUAAGAUUCAGAGAUAUUGUUUAGCAAAACCUUGUUCUGAGUCAUGGCUGAAGAGCCUCGUCCUGGGUCUUGAAACUAGUCAAGAUCAGCUCAUGCCGCUUGGCAAGCAGCUGGGCUAGGAAGGGCCCUGAUCCAAAGUUCUGGCCAGUGAGAUACAAAUGGAUACUUUCUUGCUAAGACUUCCAGAAAAUCAUUUGCUUUUUUGAUUUAAAAACAAACUGCCCCCCAAAAGCCUUUCAUGCUGGAGCAUUGUUGUGAUGCUUGGAGGCACAGCAGCCAUUUUGUAUCCUGAGGUCAGAAUGAAGCCGGAGGCCUACAUACAAAGUGUGGUUUUUUUUUUUUUUUAAAUAGAACCCAGGUGUCUAACGGUGUAUCUGAGUAACUCCAUCAGAUCCCCCCCUGUAGACUGCUUACUAAGAGAGGAAAGAAUAAACAUAUAUUUCUUUUCACAGCACUGUAAUUGGCACUUGGAGCUAGAUGAAUUUUUUUCAUGGAUAAAGCCCCAUAAAAAUGUGGUCACUCUUCAGUGAAUUCCUAGCCAAAUGAAGGGAAAAGCAAUGUACAGUAAAAUGAACUAGCAAAGUAAGCCAGGUGGCUUUGUGUACACGGAAGAGGAAGACUUGGUGGGUGAUGGGGGCCAUAUCCUGUUGGCCAAUGGGGAGCUCUGUCCCUGGAAGAUGGACUCUUGACCCCAGGGCCCCGGUUAGCUUAGCUGCACAGCUCCCUCUGUCAGGAAGUGGCUUCUGUGUCUUAGAGACAGGGGCUCCCUGCCGAGUUGGCCUGUCCCUGUUAAGAGAAAAUCGGCUCAAAUGGGGGGGGCGGAGCUAGAGGUGUCACGUGAUGUGGCAGUUUGAGAGUUGUGCAGUCCUAGAGUGGAGCGGGUGUCAGGCGCUGCUGUAAAGCUUUCUGUCUGUUAACUCCGUUCUCUGAGGGAGGCUGAGGCCGAGAGGUUCGGGAUCCCAGGUUAGGCAAGUAGCACAGGGCUGUGGAGCGGCGGGGCCAGGGUUUGAGUCCACGGCACAGAAUCGGACCUUCAGCCCUGUGCUGCCUCUCCCUGUUUGAGGAAAACGGCCAAGGAGUGUGACGAAGUCCCCAGGGCACGUGACAGCCACUUCAGAGUCUGGAUGCCACCCGGAGAUGAAAGGGUGCCUGGGAGAAGGCCGCUGCUCUCGGCUGUGGUCUCACGGGGGCAGGGCUGGGUCUCCACUUUGAGCGGAGGGACCUGGGGGACUGAGUGAGGCUCCAAAAGGAACCCCACGUCACCCCCUUCACCGGCAGGGGGAAGGCACACGUCCAAGAGGGCUGCUGUGCCACGCGGGUGAGCCUGUCCUCGGCGUGGAUGCUCUGCGCCUGUGGGUACCAACAGCAUCUCAAAGGGCUGCUGAGCGUCAAAUUGGACCUUGAGUCGUUGAAGGGCUGCGAGUCGGCAGGGGGAGGGGUCUUGGGAGAGAUGGGUGGAGAGCGCCCUGAAGGAGUCCAGGGACGGGGUGCAGGUCCCCCUGCCUCCCUGGGGCCUUCCUGACCUGCUGUCAGUACCGGUCUCCUGAGGCAUCCAGAGAGUCUGCGCUUGGCAGCGACGCCGCUCUUCCCGGCAGGUGAGCGCCCACGGAGGAGGGCACAGUGGAGCGGAAAAGCCCCUUGAACGUGGGGAGGCGCUGUCGUUCCUUGAGGGCCAGCGAUCACACGGCGUGCGGCCCACGAAGGGCGGUCCCCUGGCCUGUCUAUUAAAGGACCCUAAGGCCUUGUUCCUGGUACCUGGCUUGUGCCCCUUGGCUCGCGUGGCCGAGGGGUCUGUUCAUAAGGCAGGAUUCCGUCUGCAGCCCCCCUGCCAGGCCGUGUGCAGAUUCUCAUCUCCCCAUAAGGGGGGAACCUGGGUGGGAGGAGGGUCAGAGGAAGAGCAGGUGGGGGCGGGCCUUCCAGAGUCCCCACCUUCACCGGGAGCACGUUCAAGUUCACGAGAGCCCGAAUCCCUUCUGUUUUCUCUCCCACGGCCAGUAGAGUGUGUGUGGGGGAAUACUGUCCUGAUUGAAAUUACAAAUUAUUUUGAAUUACUGAAUAAUUAUGAAUUACUGAAUGAUUCAGUUAGGAAUCCCUGCAGAAUGCAAAUGACUCAAACUGCCCUGGGCCGCCUCUCUCUGGGGCGAGAAGCUCCAUCUCAGAGCCCAGGGUCCUUCACCGCAUCUCCUUGACUGCGACCCCAGGGCUGCCGAGGCUGCCCCAGGCCUGGCACAGAGCAUGGUGCCCGCGAGGUCUCUGGAUUUGGGUGGUGUCAGGGGCGAGGUGCUUGUUCAAACUUGGGGGGCUUGUGGAUGUCGGCUGUUUUCGUGUGCUUCCCAGGCUGGAGCGCCUUGGCGGUUCACGCUCCCCGAAACCUUGCCCCUCGGCUGUCGGUGACAGGCUGGGCGCCCUUCAGGUGCCCCAGUUCUGUACUGCGUCGGAUCCCUGACCUGAGGUUGAUAAGCCGUGUGAACACAGGUUCAGAAAGGGAAAAAUUCACGAUGACCCACAGAAGGAAAGUGAGUAGGUAUCAGAGACUUUAUUUAACUUGCUGAAGGAGCGGAGUAACCGCUGAGGGGAAAACAUCGGCUCCAAGGAGAAGGCGAAGAACAUAAACCUGUGGAAGCAAUUGAAAUGCGGAACUUUUCUAAUAGAUGCAAAACGGGCAGCAGUCAGGUCUAUCUUCAGACAAAAUUUAUUGCUAUUUACAGGUUCAAGAAGCAUUGGCUUGGAG